UGCAGAAUCACAAUUGUCAUUUCAAUCAAACAUAUUUGGUUCAUAACAGAUGGGGCAUAGAGUAAUUGGAGCAUAUCAGCAACGAAUGAAAUGUUUUGGAGCAUAUCAAUAACAAAUGAAACAUUUCGGAGCUUAUCAAUGGCGUAUGAAAUGUUCCGGAGCAUAUCAAUGGCGUAUGGAACAUUUCGAAGCAUAUCAACAAUGAAU
rnacentral:lncRNA from 1 species